UACAGAGGGGGCGAGCGUUGUUCGGAAUUACUGGGCGUAAAGGGCGCGUAGGCGGCCUUCUAAGUCGAACGUGAAAUCCCCGGGCUCAACCCGGGAACUGCGUCCGAUACUGGGAGGCUUGAAUCCGGGAGAGGGAUGUGGAAUUCCAGGUGUAGCGGUGAAAUGCGUAGAUAUCUGGAGGAACACCGGUGGCGAAGGCGGCAUCCUGGACCGGUAUUGACGCUGAGGCGCGAAAGCCAGGGGGAGCAAACGGGG
rnacentral:rRNA from 1 species